GGGGCAGGGGAGGAUCUAGGGAGAGAAAAACUGGAGAAGACGAUAAGGGAAAAGCCCUGUGAUGAAGAGGCUGCAAGUUCUGAUGUCCAAGAGGUGGACGGAGUUAACUACAUGAUGACCAGACUGCAGCCAUGACAUAAGCUGUCACAAUUCCGAGAACUGGCCUCAAAGAAAUGGGAACAAACUGACCCUGGAACGGAAGACUAACUGUACUUAAAACAACUAGAUAUGCUGAUCAGCCCUCUACAUAACCAAUCCCCCCUCACAGCCACCCCUGCCACCCCACUGCCGGCAUCCGAAAUAAAGCAAACUUUCCUUUCCACUCACCUUGCCUCUUUAUUGGCUUUUGAGCAGAGCACUUUUGGUUACAC
ensembl:lncRNA